ACUAUGCGUAUGGAUGUCGAACUAUGCAGGAGAUAUGAUAUAGAUAUUGUGCUGCUUUACUUUGCAUGCACAUCGAACACGUGCAUGUCGUUCAUACAGAUUGCAUAUCGUCUACACAAUAUUGAAGACCCCGGUCGCAUUACAUCCAACAUAAAAGAGUAUGGAUAAUGAAUACAAGAAAGUAACAACGUAACAUCGUUUUAUUGGUUUCUACAAAAAACCUCAGUUUUCUGAAGUCCAUGUUGUCACUGUAGGAUCUUCGAAAGUGUGUAGUUUGCGCAUGUGUGAUGGUAUAACAGUACGACACAGGAAACCCUUCAAGGAUUUCUGAAAUAUGUGUGCCUGGAUUUCAUGCAGUAUGUUUUGCUUCAAAUUUUAAUGGAUAUUGCUUACCAGUGCAGUGAAUAUCAUGUUAUUUUUGUUCAAAACGCGUUUCUAAAAUCAUCCUAUCCAAUGUAACGUGUUCGGGUGAAUGAAAUACAUGUACCUGGAUUUGGUGAAGCAUGAAUAGUACUCUCGGCUCUUUUUAGCAAUGGAUCCUUAUUUUUGGAUGUCGUCAGUCCUGUAACACACCAAGGCUGUGCAGACAAAUUGAAUAACGCGGUAUAAAAAUUUGUCUCCACCGCUUGGUGUGUUACAGGACCAACGACUUCCAAAAAUAAGCAAUUAAUACUUGUAUUUAUAUUCAAACUAAUGUUUAUUUGUAUGAAGUAUAUGUGUAUUGUCUCUGUAAAGCAAUUUUUUACGCUCUUAGUCAUGGAUAUAAAACAUAUGAGGAACAGCCAUAUUAACAUGUUAUUUUGUUCGCUUCUGCGACUAAAAAUAUAGUGCCAGAAGCUUUGCAGAGAAAAAUCUUCUCUAUUAAUGGGUAGAUUUAAUUAAAUGAUUAUUUUUUUAAGUACAUAUCAAAUUGGUUAUGUAAGAUUGAAAGUUUUAUUUAAUCUCACAAAAAAAUGAAUAUACUCAAAACACGUGGAGACGUUCAUAUUUGUGCUCAUGGCGCAUAAAUUAGCAAAUUGUAUUCAUAGAAAAUUAAACGUUGCAGAUUUCCAAUGUGAACAUAAAGGGAAAUAUACACUGAAUGUAAAUAUAGGAAAUUCAACGUUUCAGAUUUUAAUGCAAACAUAAGGGGAAAGAUACACCUAAUGUGAAUAUAUAGAAGGUGUGUAGUUAUAAGCGUAUAAAGCAAGUGUUUGCAUGUAACGGUAUACACUGUAUUUGUUAAAGUGCAUUAUUGCGUGUAUCCGUAUUUGCGUUAAGGUGCGUAAUUGCGUGCAACGGUAUAUACAAUAAAGUGCCUCACUCCGGUGACUGCGAGGUAGUAUCAUGCGUGUAUAAUAAAUCCAAUUACUUUAACAGAACAUCAGUCAAAAUUAGUGAUUACCGGGAGAAAGUACAUGUAUCAAUGUCUUCAUUGCUUUUACCGCGAGAUUCAUAACACGAUCAUGUGACAACUAUUGACCAAUCAUAGAUUCAAGACAAUGGGGAUAUCAAAAUGACAGUUUAAAUAAUUGAGUUGAAACUAUCAGCAAUCAUGAAAUUGUUCAAGCAACUGUGAGUACUUGGAUGGAAAAUUUAUUUAGCAUUUAAUUAUUGACUAUUUAUUUUUUAUAACAAACUACCGGGUAUGGUGAAUAGACACCCCUGCGAAUGUUAUUGUCAUUUGAAUUUAGACCACGUGGUUUUAUUUAACCCUAUCAGUUUUGCAGUAAUAUCAUGCCACCUAUUUAUAGUAUAUUUCCUAUAAUCUAGGUACUAGUAGUCAAAUAUAAGAUCUAGACGUUUAUUGAUUUUAAAUUUUAACUUCAUUAACUGUUGGAUAAAAUGAGUUACAGAAAAAAUGUGACACUAGAAAUGAUAGUUUUUUUAAUGUUGCAACAGUUAACAUGCUUAGUAGCGAUGCCCCCUAAAGAUUAAUUUUCGAUCCGCGCGAGACCUAGUAAGAGCAUCAAUACUAAAACAAACUAUACUAUUUUAUGCAGAAUGGUCUUUGAAAAUGGUUCGAUAUAGUAAGUUGUAAUACAAAAAAGACACCUAUUCAUUUUUAUACAGCACGGUUUUGUACACCAAUAGCCAAGAGCAUUAAACAUGGCUAUGAUUUUCUUAAGCAACCGAAUGUUUAUAUUUUCAACCACGUGUAGAGUGGUUGAACACGAACGAUAACUCUGUUCUGAAUGUUAUUGUUUAAUUUAAAUAACCGCUAGAUGAUGAAAUAAGACAUAUAUCUUCAUAGAUUUUCAUGUUUUAACAUAAAUCAAAGUCGGAUAUGAUAUGAAAAACAACCAGUACUUACGUAUCUUGAGAAUAUUAUCCAAACACUUAUACUUCCGCUCAAAUUUCACAGAAACUGAACAAAUCUCGGGGAAGUCUCGUUCACUUUCAUUCGAGCACCUCUGGAUUUAUUACAUACUUAGCAACGAUAAAGAAAACUUCCGAACACAUUCUCAGGGGUGAUAGGGAUAGAGACUGGUUUGACAGUUAGAUUUGGUUCGCACCAAGAAAUAAUUGUCUUAAUCUUGUAUAUAAUGUUAUAAUAUCAUAUCCUUCUUUUUGUACCAAAUGUUACAGCAGUGUCUUACUUAGAAGAAAAAACCCAACUAUAAAGAAAUGUCCCUUUUAUUGAGUUUUAUCUACAGCUUGAUAAUACUCCCCAAAAAAUCAUUUGUAUAUGAAUUAUGUAAUUAAUGGUAUGCAUAAACAUUAAACAAACACUGCACUGUAAAUGUCUCAAAAUAUGAAUAUGAGCACUUAAACAUAAGCACAAUAUUCCUUCAAAAUUAUUUAAAUAAAU
rnacentral:sRNA from 1 species